AACUUUCAGCAACGGAUCUCUUGGCUCUCGCAUCGAUGAAGAACGCAGCGAAAUGCGAUACGUAAUGUGAAUUGCAGAAUUCAGUGAAUCAUCGAAUCUUUGAACGCACCUUGCACUCUUUGGUAUUCCGAAGAGUAUGUCUGUUUGAGUGUCAUGAAACUCUCAACCCCCUCAUUUUGUAAUGAAAUGUAGCGUGGGCUUGGUUUAUG
rnacentral:rRNA from 1 species